UACGUAGGGUGCAAGCGUUGUCCGGAAUUAUUGGGCGUAAAGAGCUCGUAGGCGGUUCAUUGCGUCAAUCGUGAAAUCCUGUGGCUCAACUACAGGCUUGCGGUUGAUACGGGUGGGCUGGAGUUCGGUAGGGGAGACUGGAAUUCCUGGUGUAGCGGUGAAAUGCGCAGAUAUCAGGAGGAACACCAGUGGCGAAGGCGGCUCACUGGACCGGAACUGACGCUGAGGCGCGAAAGCGUGGGGAGCAAACGGG
rnacentral:rRNA from 1 species